rnacentral:tRNA from 1 species
GGUGGGGUGGCCGAGCGGUUGAAGGCGCCGGUCUUGAAAACCGGUAGACCCGUAAGGGUCUCGCGGGUUCGAAUCCCGCCCCCACCG